rnacentral:tRNA from 1 species
AAGAAUUUAGUUAAACAUAUAACAUUAGAUUGUCAAACUAAAAUUAUUUUUCCAAAUAAUUCUUA